AUUGAACGCUGGCGGCAUGCUUUACACAUGCAAGUCGAACGGUAACAGGCCGCAAGGUGCUGACGAGUGGCGAACGGGUGCGUAAUGCAUCGGAACGUGCCCAGUCGUGGGGGAUAACUACUCGAAAGAGUAGCUAAUACCGCAUACGAUCUAUGGAUGAAAGCGGGGGACCGUAAGGCCUCGCGCGAUUGGAGCGGCCGAUGUCAGAUUAGGUAGUUGGUGGGGUAAAGGCUCACCAAGCCAACGAUCUGUAGCUGGUCUGAGAGGGCGAGCAGCCACACUGGAACUGAGACACGGCCCAGACUCCUACGGGAGGCAGCAGUGGGGAAUUUUGGACAAUGGGCGCAAGCCUGAUCCAGCAAUGCCGCGUGCAGGAAGAAGGCCUUCGGGUUGUAAACUGCUUUUGUACGGAACGAAACGGCUCUGGCUAAUACCCGGGGCUAAUGACGGUACCGUAAGAAUAAGCACCGGCUAACUACGUG
rnacentral:rRNA from 1 species